AAGUCGUAACAAGGUUUCCGUAGGUGAACCUGCGGAAGGAUCAUUAACAAAUCUGCUAUAUGGCGAGCCCGAAAGGGAUUGCACAUAUAUAUUUACCCCGAGCUGGUGUUGCACUUUUGUGCAAAGGCCAGCUUUGGUUGGGCAGGCCUACCCUUUACCGGGUAGGGCUGCUCCGGACAGUGUUUGGAGGCCGCAAGGUUUUCGGACGCUGGCCACAUUGACGCUUGUAUGUUUGACAGAGUUACAGUUGUAAACUAAAAAAGACAACUUUUAACAAUGGAUCUCUUGGCUCUU
rnacentral:misc_RNA from 1 species